UGGGAUCAAUGGGAUGGAUGGGAUCAUUGGCGGGGUCAUGGGAUCGAUGGAUGACAUGGGUGGGAUCAGGGAUGGGAUCAUCAGCAGCAUCCAUAGGGUCAGUGGGAUCAGUGGGAUGGAUGGGAUCAUCAGUGGGGUCAUGGGAUCAUCAUCAGCAUCCAUGGGAUCAGUGGGAUCAGUGGGAUGGAUGGGAUCAUCAGCGGCAUCCAUGGGAUCAGAGGUAUUGCUGGGAUGGAUGGGAUCAUCACUGGGGUCAUGGGAACAUCAGUGGCAUCCAUGGGAUCAGUGGGAUUGAUGGGAUGGAUGGGAUCAUCAGUGGCAUCCAUGGGAUCAGUGGGAUCAGUGGGAUGGAUGGGAUCAUCAGUGAGGUCAUGGGAUCAGUGUGAUCACUGGUGUGGAUGGGAUCAUCACUGGGAUCCAUGGGAUCAGUGGGAUCGUUGGGAUAGGUGGGAUCAUCAAUGGGGUCAUGGGAUCAAUGGUUGACAUGGGUGAGGUCACUGGUGGCAUCAGUGGGAUCAGUGGGAUUUCUGGGAUGGAUGGGAUCAUUGUUGGGAUGGAUGGGAUCAUUGUUGGGGUCAUGGGGUC
rnacentral:lncRNA from 1 species